rnacentral:lncRNA from 1 species
AAAAAAGAGCCAGGGGUAGUGUCACAUGCUUGUCAUCCUCAGUCUGUAGCAGUAAAUAAGGCAGGUCCCCAGGCCAGCCAGUCUAGCAUAAUUAACAAGCUCCAGGCCAAUGGAAAGUACAAAAAACACCUGCCUUGUAUAAAAAACAAGAUAGAUGGCACCUAAGGUGUCCUCUGGCUUCUAUCCCCCCCACCCCACACCCACACACAUAGGUAACCCCCACCCCCAUACACACACAUGCAAAAAACAGCAAUAGAAAGCCCAAAACAAAGAGAGAAAACUCCAGAGAUGCUUGUAUUCACGAGGGGUGAUGGCAAAUGGGUACUAAUGGAAGAACUAGGAAAUAACUCAUUGUACUCAUUUUAAUAGUGUCUUUUAAAAAGUAGAAAUAUGGCUGACAAUAAAAAUAUUCCUAGGCCAUUUGGAAACUUAAUUUAUUUAGUUUAUUUUUGUUUUCUGCCCUCAAGUCUUCCACCAGCACCACGACAGGAUGUUCAUGGACAGAAGCCAUCUGCAUCCACCCAGCUGUGCGGCUGUGUGAGAUAUAUGUGGAGAUGCUGGUUGGAGCCAUUUGAUGGCAUUCAGCUUUGUGUGUCCCCCAAGGAGAAGAAAGAAUCCUCCAGCAGGUCUGGGUUGUGCUUCUGGCCGUACAACAUCUGUGGAGAAGAAGGAUGUCAUGUGGAAUUUACAACAGAUCCUAAUGGGAGAGUCUCCCUAUCGAUACCCAAGAUUGUGGAGAUGUACAGAAAUUAUGCACCCGCUGAAAGCCAAAUCUUGGCAUAGUCUUGGAACCUGAUUUCCCCUACCUGGCAUGUGCCAUCAGGUGGUAUGUUUGGGAGAGGUUGCUGUGUGUAACUCCUUUGGGCUGCGAAGCAGAAAACAGGACUGAAGGCCUGGGGAACUUAAUCCAGAACUCUGAGCACCAAUUGCAUGAAGAAACCACCUGGGAAGCAUUUGUGCUGCCCUUUCAAAAGGGUUAGCUUCCCUUCAAUUCAGCCAAGCCAGACACAACUCCUGAUGUCAGUUUCACGGCGAAGAUCUUGACAGGAGGACUUCAGCUCUCAGGUGAUAUGAAAAGCUGUGAUUUCCACUUCUGAUCAUUUCUCAUAUUCCUGAAGCCAUAGAUGAAGGCAGGCUGGUGGGAGUAGAAGCAGACACCCAUAACUAAUCACCGAACUGAACUGGAACCCAGAUGCAGAGAAGGACCAGUGAAGACCACAGAGGUCCAGACCAGGCUGGUGAAACCCACAGAAACAGCUGACCUGAUCAUCCGGGAACUCUUGCUCCCCAGUCUGAUAGCUGGAAUACCAGCAUGGGACUGAUCCAGACCCCAGGAACAUGGGUUUCUGUAAGGAAACCUCAGAAAUCUAUGGGACCUCCUGUAGAAGCCCAGUAUUUAUCCCUAGCAUAGGUGUGGA